rnacentral:rRNA from 1 species
GGGCAGCGGUAAUUCCAGCUCCAAUAGCGUAUAUUAAAGUUGUUGCAGUUAAAAAGCUCGUAGUCGGAUUUCGGGUCGACUCGUCCGGUCUGCCGUUGGGUAUGCACUGGUUCGGUCGGUCUUUUUGCACAUGGGCGCGCGCGUGCUUUAUUGGGCGCGUGUGUUCGGUGCACGUUUACUUUGAGAAAAUCAGAGUGUUCAAAGCAGGCCUUUGCCAUUGUAUGUGUUAGCAUGGGAUAAUGGAAUAGGACCUUGGUGCUAUUUUGUUGGUUUCGAACGCCGAGGUAAUGAUUAAUAGGGACAGUCAGGGGCACUCGUAUUCCGUAGAGAGAGGUGAAAUUCUUAGACCCACGGAAGACGCACUACUGCGAAAGCAUUUGCCAGGGAUGUUUUCACUGAUC